rnacentral:misc_RNA from 1 species
CAGAGUUAUAAAACUCCCAAACCCAUGUGAACUUACCUAUGUUGCCUCGGCGGAGCCUACCCGGUACCUACCCUGUAACGCUCCGCCGGUGGACCUUUAAACUCUUGUUAUUUUAUAGUAAUCUGAGCGUCUUAUUUUAAUAAGUCA